UGGGAAACACAUAUAACAUGUCAUUCUUCCCGGAUGAAAUUCGGUACUUUAUUUAUAUUAUCAAGCCAUUGCAUAAUAUAAACACACUUCAUUACAGAAGUCUUUACUACAAUAAAUCUAGAACUGGACUAGAAUGUAAAUAAUAAGCAAACUACACUAGUACAAUAAUACUAAGACUACUAUGCUGGCAAGGGUUCCUAUUUUCUAGAUUUUUUGGAAUUUUGUUUACCCCCGCUGAUUGAGUGACACGUAUGCAUGUUGGUUUCCUUUCGGUUUUUGAUUUUUUUACAUCCACUAAUCAUUUUUAGGGCAAUGUGAGCAUAAGUGAACAAUAUCAAAAUUUAACACUUGUUACUAGGGGUCGUGCAUGGAUUUGUUUACCUUCCACUGUUUUGAUUGGGUUUGAUGUGAU
rnacentral:lncRNA from 1 species